rnacentral:rRNA from 1 species
GAACUGAAGAGUUUGAUCCUGGCUCAGAUUGAACGCUGGCGGCAUGCCUUACACAUGCAAGUCGAACGGUAACGCGGGGCAACCUG